rnacentral:rRNA from 1 species
GACACGUGAAAUCCUGGUUGAAGAUGGGUGGACCAUCAUCCAAGGCUAAAUACUACUUACUGACCGAUAGUGAACCAGUACCGUGAGGGAAAGGUGAAAAGAACCCCGGAGAGGGGAGUGAAAUAGAAUCUGAAACCGUUUGCGUACAAGCAGUGGGAGCAUAGUUUAGGCUGUGUGACUGCGUACCUUUUGUAUAAUGGGUCAGCGAGUUACUUUCAGUGGCGAGGUUAACUGAAUAAGGGAGCCGUAGAGAAAUCGAGUCUGAAUAGGGCGAUAGUCGCUGGGAGUAGACCCGAAACCGGGCGAUCUAGCCAUGUGCAGGAUGAAGGUUGGGUAACACCAACUGGAGGUCCGAACCGGGUAAUGUUGAAAAAUUAUCGGAUGACGUGUGGCUAGGAGUGAAAGGCUAAUCAAGCCCGGAGAUAGCUGGUUCUCCCCGAAAGCUAUUUAGGUAGCGCCUCGUGAAUGAUUACUGGGGGUAGAGCACUGUUUCGGCUAGGGGGCUGUCAUGGCUUACCAAACCGAUGCAAACUCCGAAUACCGGCUAAUUGGAUCACGGGAGACACACGGCGGGUGCUAACGUCCGUCGUGGAGAGGGAAACAACCCAGACCGCCAGCUAAGGUCCCCAAGUACUAGUUAAGUGGGAAACGAUGUGGGAAGGCAUAGACAGCCAGGAGGUUGGCUUAGAAGCAGCCACCCUUUAAAGAAAGCGUAAUAGCUCACUGGUCGAGUCGGCCUGCGCGGAAGAUGUAACGGGGCUAAAACUAGUCACCGAAGCUGCGGAUGUGCGCGAAGGCGCACGUGGUAGGGGAGCGUUCUGUAGGCUGAUGAAGG